UACGUAGGGGGCUAGCGUCGUUCGGAAUUACUGGGCGUAAGGGCGCGUAGGCGGCUUCGCUAGUCGGGUGUGAAAUGCCUGGGCUUAACCCGGGAACUGCACUCGAUACUUCGAGGCUAGAGUGUGGGAGAGGAUAGUGGAAUUCCCAGUGUAGAGGUGAAAUUCGUAGAUAUUGGGAAGAACACCGGUGGCGAAGGCGGCUAUCUGGACCACAACUGACGCUGAGGAGCGAAAGCAUGGGGAGCGAACAGG
rnacentral:rRNA from 1 species